UUCCUGCUUUAUUUUGCAACCCCUGUCCGGUGUCUACAGCACGGAAGGGGAGUGGCUUGUAGAUCGAAGUAAACCUUCUUAAUUUUGAGUAUCGAACGAAGUGUAGGUGUGUGUUAAAGGGGCCCGAUAUGCAGUAAGUAACAGUAUUUUUCAUCUGACAAACCACAUUUUCAAAAAGUUUUAACUCAUUUUGUGCACAGGAGUCGAUCGUUAACUUGGACGUAAACUAUAUUCAAGAGGAACUACAUGUGGUUUUAGAAGCCAAAGUCGGUUUGUUUUAAUAGUGUAGAUUAUAUUUAAAAAGAAGAAAAAUUUGGCAUGAAAUCUUUUAAUCUCCCUUCACUUGUUUUCACAAAAAUCCCACUUUAUGCCUUAACGGAAAGAUACUGAAUGGAAACACUUUAUCAAGGAGACUAUUAGGCACUAUAAGAGUGACUUUGAGAUGGAAGAACAGAAUUUAAAUUUUGAUUUUGAAGAAGAUGGGGUGACGAACGGACCACAACAAAAGGACUGGAUCAGGGUCGACCACUGUAGGACACGGGCAGGCCCAAAUCUUAGCUCAGCUCAGUUGAUCGUGACUUUCCUGACGUCCAGAAGAUGGUGACGAUGGGCCCUAAGUAGCUGUUCUUCCUGCUGGCCCAUCUGCCUCAUCUUACGUGAUAUUGAAGGGAUUCCGGUGCCUAGCGAUGCAGCCAGCAUAUGAUGUCAUAAGCGUCGUCCCACCCCAACACGCAAUGACCGGAGGUGUUUGUUGGAUGGUUUUAAGGAUCCCACACAGAUUGGUGGGCCCUGUACUUUGAUUACUAUGUACAUUUAAUAAUGUGCUGUGUCUUCAGCAAUAAGCCAUAUAGAUGCCCAUGAAUUUCAUACAGUGUUUUAAUUUCAUUGGUAGUAAAAAAAAAAUCGUUUUU